AGAAUAAAAAAGAAGUUAAAGCAAGUGUAGGCGAAAUGGUCUAGUGGUAAAGGCAAAGUGUUUGCAAGUGCGUAAAGCCAGGAUCGAUUCCUGGUUGUGCCAAAAGCAUUUUAAUGUCAGGCAUAGUUGUUAAUUAAUUCCAGCCGAGACGAAAAUUAGCCAAGUAGAAUAAAAAAGGAGUAAAAGCAAGUGUAGGCGAAAUGGUCUAGUGGUAAAGGCAAAGUGUUUGCAAGUGCGUAAAGCCAGGAUCGAUUCCUGGUUGUGUCAAAAGCAUUUUAAUGUCAGGCAUAGUUGUUAAUUAAUUCCAGCCGAGACGAAAAUUAGCCAAGUAGAAUAAAAAAGGAGUAAAAGCAAGUGUAGGCGAGAUGGUAUAGUGGUAAAGGCAAAGUGUUUGCAAGUGCGUAAAGCCAGGAUCGAUUCCUGGUUGAGUCAAAAGCAUUUUAAUGUCAGGCAUAGUUGUUAAUUAAUUCCACCCGAGACGAAAAUUAGCCAAGUAGAAUAAAAAAAGGAGUUAAAGCAAGUGUAGGCGAGAUGGUCUAGUGGUAAGGACGAAGUGUUGCUAUUGCGUGAAUCCCAGGAUCGAUUCCUGGUUGUCUAAAAAUCAACAAGUGUAU